CUUUGAACCAGUCGGUCGCUCCUGAACAAAUUUCCCAAGUGUACUGAGGCCAGCUCCGGAUUAAAGUUCAGAUGUCACUCUUCAAUCAGGCUGGGUCUGCCCCUGCGCUCCCUGGAGGGACCCACCUGUGCAGACUGGCUUUUGUAGCGUUUUAAGUUACCCCACCUGAUGGUUCACGAUGCUCUGCGUCCAUCGUACCCAUCCCUGCUUCCCCAGGUUGACUCUGCAGUCAGCCCCCUGUGUGCCUGGAACCCAGAGCCGAGUCUAGAACGGUCUCACUAGGAUUGCACCCAGCGUCAGCUGCUCUUGCUUCUCCUGCCAGCUCUCUUGCCAGGCAGCAUGGUGACAGAUAAAAUUUGUACGGUGUCAGCUUUCACCACUGUUCAUGGCACCUGGCACUCUCCAGAUCUUCCCAGGUGGCGAAAUUCGGAACAGCGGAGCUGGGAGAAGACUCGUGCAUCCUCAAAGGGCUCUUAGCUCUCACCACCCCAGGUUUGCAGGUCUGGGAAACCUCUCUUCCCACACAGGAUGCCACUAGGAACAGACACUGACCGGGAUUGGUGACAGGGCAGAAACGGAGCUGAGCCUUUUGGGGAAAAGAGAAGAUUUGUGUCGCAGAGAUGCCACCACGGCUAUCCCCAGAGCACACCAACAUGGGAAGAUCGCAAAGCAGAGACCCUACCGUGCUGUCCUGGGGCUGUUCUUGGCCCUGCCUGAUGGAAUCAUGCUUUCCCUGAUAAUUCGCCUUUCUGGUGGGCCAAUUUUAACAGGGAUCUAGCCAAGCUUUAAUGUUACACGUGACUGGUCUGAAGCUGCCGGUUUCCGAAAGCUACUCUUUUGCAGCUUGGCUAUCAGGUCAGGCUGGGAUCAUAGCUGAAGCUGGGCUGCACAGGGGGUACAAGCCAUGCUCUCUAGUGGGGGGACUUGGGACGAGGAGGUGCCCGUCCCUCAUUGCCUGCUGUGCCCCGGCAUAGGCCAUGCUUUAACAGACCCAUCAGAGGCCAGUGUUAGAGGCGGCUGUUAAUUUACAGGCUCCCAGGUAUCUUCCAUUGCAGAGGCUCUGAGACUGCCCUGUGAGGCCACAAGCUUAGGCGGGCAUAGCCGUGCCAAUUUUUACUAUCCUUGCUUUUUUAUUUUAAAUCUUGUGAUCACAAAAUUAUGUGAAUUCCUGAAUCCUCUCCUCUGUUAAAAACCAUAGGUUUAUCCAUAUAGGCUCUGUAAUGGUAAAAGCAAAAAUGCUGUGGAUCCCCGAGUGGUUGCAGAGGCAGAAAUGCUGCAGGUCCCCAAUCGGCAGCAGCAGGUAGCCGGUCCCCAGAGCAGCCAGUCCCAGGUAGGGAUGGCACAGUUCCCAAGUGGCUGCAGUGGGCCACAAGGGGCAGCGAGUCCCACGAGGAGAGACGGGCAGAUGGGCACACCAUGAGACCACGCCGCAGGUCUCUGAAGGCAGCUGGUUCCAGGCAAGGAGCCACCCGGCCAGCGAGAGACAGAGACAUGGAUAGGCACACCAUGCAGAGUGAGGCUGGAUAUUUAUUUAGUGGGUUAUGGAAGGGAAGGGGAGAGAGGGUAAGGGUAAAAGGGGGAAGAGCAG